UGGGGAAUUUUGGACAAUGGGGGAAACCCUGAUCCAGCCAUCCCGCGUGUGCGAUGAAGGCCUUCGGGUUGUAAAGCACUUUUGGCAGGAAAGAAACGUCAUGGGUUAAUACCCCGUGAAACUGACGGUACCUGCAGAAUAAGCACCGGCUAACUACGUGCCAGCAGCCGCGGUAAUACGUAGGGUGCAAGCGUUAAUCGGAAUUACUGGGCGGAAAGCGUGCGCAGGCGGUUCGGAAAGAAAGAUGUGAAAUCCCAGGGCUCAACUUUGGAACUGCAUUUUUAACUACCGGGCUAGAGUGUGUCAGAGGGAGGUGGAAUUCCGCGUGUAGCAGUGAAAUGCGUAGAUAUGCGGAGGAACACCGAUGGCGAAGGCAGCCUCCUGGGAUAACACUGACGCUCAUGCACGAAAGCGUGGGGAGCAAACAGG
rnacentral:rRNA from 1 species